rnacentral:lncRNA from 10 species
AGUCACAGGGCUGUGGAUUCCACUUCAUGCAAGUGAGGAGGCCUGACCAGUUCACUUUGCUUUUGGUACAUUCUGGAAAAAUACCCCAGAGUGAACCUGGAUGUGUGUGUGGGAGUGGGGGCACAGAUGAUUCUCACUCUCAAAUAGGCAUCUCAGGAGAAUCAGAGAAUCUGUUAUUUUGACCUAUUCCUGAGCUACUAUUAAAUAGUUACACAAGCUCUCUGCAUUAAUUUUCUUUUCCAAAUGACCAUCUGUGAAGUGUAGCAGUUUCUGGGCUCUUCCCCAAGUCUGAAUUCAGCUGCUAAAUAGUAGACAUUCCACUGCAAGUCUAUUUCUGUAAGGGUUGAAAAUACACUAUUAUGGAAAAUGUCCAACUGUGGCUUUGUACCUUCCAUUCCGUAAUGUGCUUUCAUUUAUUCGGCAUAUUUAUUAGGUAUUGACUGUGUGCCUAGUACUGUGCUAGGUGCUAGAAUUACUAAGAUGAGUAAGACAUGUUUCUUGUCCACGGGGAUUUUAUGUUUCAGUAUGGGAGACAAUACAGGCAAAUAUACAACUGACAAGUAGCCCAAGUCAGUACAGAUAAAAGUGCAAUGGGACACCAGAGGAGAGGCUUUUAGAGAAGAUUUCAUAGCUGGAUGGAUAGAAUGGCUCUACAAAAAAGAGAAAAGAAUUUUCAGGGCAGAGAGAACAAGGGACACAAAGGGGAAAAAGCAAGUGGCAUGUUUGUACAGUAGCAAAUUUUCUUUGGCUGGAGGAUAUUAAAGGGGAACAAGCAGGUAUGAGGCUGGAAAAAUAUGUUAAAGCAAGACCGUGUUUGUUAAAUGUAAAAUGCUGUUCCUAGGAUAGAAUAGACAGGACUUAACAGUUAAUUGGAUAUGCAUGUCAGAGGAGAGGGUGAAGUAAAAGAUGGCUAAGAUUUUGAGCCUAGAUGAUAAGGAUAAUAAUCACUUAAAGAGAAAGUCAGAAGAGGGAUGGGGAUUUACAGCUUGUCAAGCCCUUUAUAUCACAUGGUAUCCUUAAGUAGUAUGUUUAGAAGUUGUUGUUGUUACUCCGAAAGACCAAAGUUCAGAGGAGUUAUUAUGUGUCCAAGGUUAUAUAGUUAGUGAAGGGAAGACAAGAAGAGACUGGUGGCACAAUAG